GAUGAACGCUGGCGGCGUGCCUAAUACAUGCAAGUCGAGCGAACAGAUGAGAAGCUUGCUUCUCUGAUGUUAGCGGCGGACGGGUGAGUAACACGUGGGUAACCUACCCAUAAGACUGGGAUAACUCCGGGAAACCGGGGCUAAUACCGGAUAAUAUUUUGAACCGCAUGGUUCAAUAGUGAAAGACGGUUUCGGCUGUCACUUAUAGAUGGACCCGCGCCGUAUUAGCUAGUUGGUAAGGUAACGGCUUACCAAGGCGACGAUACGUAGCCGACCUGAGAGGGUGAUCGGCCACACUGGAACUGAGACACGGUCCAGACUCCUACGGGAGGCAGCAGUAGGGAAUCUUCCACAAUGGGCGAAAGCCUGACGGAGCAACGCCGCGUGAGUGAUGAAGGUCUUCGGAUCGUAAAACUCUGUUGUUAGGGAAGAACAAAUUUGUUAGUAACUGAGCAAGUCUUGACGGUACCUAACCAGAAAGCCACGGCUAACUACGUGCCAGCAGCCGCAGUAA
rnacentral:rRNA from 1 species